rnacentral:lncRNA from 1 species
CCUGCUAAGACAAGUGCGUGUAUGUGUUUAGGGAGGACGGAGUCCGCCCCAAGGGCAGUCUGCUUAGCAGCCAGCGGGAGGCGCCAAGUGCUCGGGCCUUCUGGACCCCGCCAUGGGGCGGGGCGGGGCGGGGCGGGUUCCACGUGUUCCCCUGGACCACGGGUUUCCCCGGUGAGGCGGACUGGCAAGCCGCAGCGUUGGGCAACCGGGCUCGGAUGCCUCCCGGGCCGCGCGCUGGUCCCCCGUAGCUCAGGGUCUCGCCACGGGCGGUUGGGGCCCUCCGCGGGCAGAAGGCUGUCGCGGGCGCCUCAAUUGCUCUCCGAUUUCAAGGUUGAAAGCGGCGCUGCGUGUAUCUGUAGCUAAAGGCAGGCUGCGGUGGGAGGUGGGCCAGGCCGGGAGCCCUGCGGCUGGUGGCUGCGGCCCGGGCUCACUCCCGCCACCCGGGAGAGAGUGCAGGCCGGCAACCGAGGCCAGGCCCGCCGCGUGCUCACCUGCUGGUCCUGGAGGCUACGGGUAGGGGCGACGGGGCGGGGCCAGGGCGCGACCGGCCAAUGGGGAGAGGCUAUUCGACUGUUAAAUUCCCCCUGGAAAGUGGAGGGGGAGGGGGCUGAGGGGAAAGUUCCAAGCUCCCGAGAAAUGGAAGGCCUGCUUGGGAACCAGAGCCGCCCAGGGACAGUUUGGGGCGCAGAGUCAGGAUAGAGGGACAGGAAGAUGCCGGCUGCGGCCGCAUCCGCCGGGAGCCGCAGGCCCCGCCCUGACCGCCUCUCCCUUCCCGGGCUCCGCUGGGCCACACGCCCGCCUGCGCCGGCUCCAUAGCGCCACCUGCUGGACUCCGGCCGCGCGCCUGGCGUGCCGAGGCCGAGGCUCUCAAAGGACCGACCGCGUUGGCCUCCCUGGCCUGGGAUGGCUGGGGAAUGAGUUCACUCACUUCGGAUCCAGCGGCUUUGGAGCCGGAGGCAACCGCCUCUUUAAAAAUACAUGAUGGGGUCAGAGGAACGACGAUCGUGAGAAUCACUUCUUGUUCUGUCCCUCCUACCGGGGCUGACAUUUCCACCACUCAAGUGACAUUUCCACCCAGGUAUGAGGAAAUAGCGAUGAGUCUGUCCCAGGAAGAAGGCAGCAGCGAAGGGCAGUUCAGAGCCGCCCCAGGCACCUAGUGACAGCAAGGCACUGCUGGAAGCAGCCUUGGGCUCCUGUUGUCCUGGGGUGGCCACAGACAUGGGCAAGGGAGGCAGCUGCCUGCCAUGCUCUAUGAGGGGUCGAAAGCCGUGGUAGGCCCCGUGUGGGUGUCCUUUCCCGGCCUCUCUGGCCUGCCUUAGUAUAGCGCUGGAAUCUCAUGAUUAGAAACAGGACCCAUUCAUUCUUUUAAUAAACAUUUAUUGAGCACCUACUGUGUGCCAGGCACUGUGCUAGGCGCUGGGGAUACAUCAGUGACUAACACACAGUCCCUGUCCUUGAGGAGCUCACAGUCUAUUGGAGGGGAAACAUACAUAAACACAUAGCUAAGGCGCUACCAUGUGCUAAGUGCUACAAUAAGAGGUAUAUACAAAGUGCUGUGGGAGCUCAGAGGAGGGAGUAAUGCAUCAGCUGUUGGGGGUGAGGAGCCAGUCUCUUGACUCCAUCAAACUAUUGCAAAGGCAGGGGCGCUGUUGCUACACGACCCUGGUUGAAAUGAACCUUUCUCCUGAGGCUCUCCUCUAGCCCUCUCCCAUAACUACAUCAGCACAGGUUAGUUUAUCAGCUUAGCUAAUUUAACACUUUGAAUAGGAAAGAAACUGGACAGGGAAGUUUCUUGAGAGGCAGGGGAUGUUCAAAGUAGUAACAACUCUUGGGUGCUAAGGCCAGGGGUGGGGUGGGGGUACCAUGAGGGCACUGAGCCAGGGAGGGCCGGCCCUGGGCAGUGGAGCACCCGGGGUGAGUGUCUGUGCAGAGGGGAGGUCGGAGGUCACCUACCUCACUUUGGUCCCCCUCUCUCCCCAGCUCAAUCAGUAACCGUCCGUUGACGCUCACUAGAUGCUUCGUAGUGUGCCCUGCUACGGGCGACAGUCCCACUCCCCUCAGAAGGUAACACACUAACUGGGGAGACUACAUAAGUCCAGGCCAUUGAAGAUUUAAGUAACAGUUUGUCAUUAUUAUAGAGGCGAUGUCACAGGCUGCUCACAGUCAGUUACCAAAGAAUGGCACUUGCAACAUACUUCGAAUGAACUCACUUAAGGGUAGGCUGGUCUGGGGAGGCAGUGUCAAUGAACUGAGCCUUGAAGGAUGGGUAUAAUUUGAUGAGUACUAGCGGGGUGGGACGGAGAAGGCAAUGGCACCCCACUCCAGUACUCUUGCCUGGAAAAUCCCAUGGAUGGAGGAGCCUGGUAGGCUGCAGUCCAUGGGGUCGCAUAAGCUUAACUGGACAUGACUGAAGUGACUUAGCAGCAGCAGCAGCAGCAGGGUGGGAAGAGCAUUGUGGUUGAGCAGAAGCAAGAAAAGUAAAAGUACAGAGGGAGGCAACUCCAACAGAAGCAGGUGCAAAGGUUAGUGAAUCCAUCCGUUUGACUGGAGCAAUACAAGGGGUCAGGGGAGCAGUGGGAGGUGAAUGGGGAAGUAGGCUAGGACGUGAUGGUAAAGUGCAAAAUACUCCUGGAACAACUGCCCUGAGCCAUCAAGUGCUCCCAAAUCCCUCCUCCAGGACCCCUGGAUUGCCUUGUGAGUCAGACAAUAAAGGGUUAAUGCCCAGCCACUAAGAACAGAUUGGAAGUUAAGGAUUUUGAGUAUUACCCCCAUUUGUAGGCAGUGAGAAGCCCCAGGAGACUUUUUGGCAGAGGAAGAAUAGAGCUGGGGCCCUGGCAGGUUGGAGGGGGUGACUCAGAUCACACUGGGGGACUGCUGAUAUGUCCAGGGAAGGGGAUAAGCUCUGGGGGAGGCUGAACAAGGCUGGAGGCUCUCUUCAAGUGUGGAAGAAUGGCUGGAUUGGAGAGACGUGGCAAACCACACCGGAUUUGAGGCAACGAGUAAGGGUCAGGGUCAAGUGAAUGUGGCCAGCAGAUGGCUCUGAAAUGUCAAGCUUAGAAGGUCAGGACAAUAACAGAAGUAGGCAAGUCAUGACGGCCUUUUUGUCUGGAAUGGUUUUGUGUGUUGGAAGACUUCCAAAAAUCCAUUUUUGAUAGAGGGACAAUCUUUGAGGGUCUGACAAUCAUCUAGGUAGAACUAUCCAGGAGAAAUGUGAGCCAGAAGCUGAGAAGAGUAGGGGCUGGGCCUCUAGAUUCCAUACCCAACCUGAAGAGCCUCACUGGAGCCAGGAGGAUGGCUGAGGCUCGUGGGGUGCCCACAGUGAAUGUAGAUGUGGAGCUAGAAAGGGCACAGAGAGGGUGACAGAGGAAGGGGAAGUAGUGUCAUGUGCUGUGAGGACUUACAAGGGGCCAAGAACUAUGAAGAAGAAAUUUGACAUCAUCUCCAGGGUAUCAGUGACUUCAGAUGAAGAGUCCUAUGGGGUUCAGGUGAGGGGGCAGGGCCACUCCUAACCCAUGUGGCACCUUUGUGUAAAGUUGUUUUCAAAGGUGACCCUUUCUCAAGAUGUUUUGCUCUCCACCACCAGGAAGCUGUCAUCAUAAGCUGAUUUUAUUAGAAAAAGGGACAUUAAUGCCAAGUGCUGGAGACAUGUAAGAAAUAUACCCGCACAACCAUACAUGGUUCCCUCCCAGGGUGGAGAAGGGGGAGAACAAGAGGUGACAGAGCAUGAUAAUGGGCUUGGCAGUGACCAGAAGGAGAGAGAGAGAAGGGCAACCAGGGGAGGUAGUGAGAUCAAGUGGCUGGUUUUGUGUCAAGGACACAGCAAGGGUCCUGAGGCACCAAUUCACAGUAACCACAUUUACCAGAUCCUAUCGCUGUUUCUGAGGCUGACAUAGUAGAGCUCUCAGCCUUGCUCCCAAACCUGGCAGGAGAGACAAAGGCAAAUUCACAGAAGAGAGAGGGGAGGGGAUCAAGGCCCCCUGCCGAGGGGUGGACUUUAAGAGAUAACUGGCUGACCCCCUUCUCAGAAAGAGGAAAGGUGGAAGGAAGGCAUGCGGAAGGACAGAAAGGACAGGAGCUCACAGGUUCAGGCCCCAUCUUCGUGGAGGAGGAGUCAGGGUGAAGUGAGAAGGCUGGCUGUCAAGGACCUCGGCCCACUGGAGGAGGUCUACUGCAGCCAUAGAGGAAGUGGGUACGUGGGCAGACCUGUGAGGGGAAUAGAAAGCAGGCUGACCAGCAAGGAGGCACGAGCAGGGACGGAGGCAGACCCCGAGCAUGUGGUUACCCGACGUCCCCUGCACCGCCUGCCAGCAAUGGAUGGCAGGGGCGAAAUUAACCAAGACGGAAGCCAGGAUUUGGGAUGCAGAGCAGGGUGGCCGUGAAGGCUAGAAUUACAGCCCAAGCCCUGGGUGCAAACAUCCAUUAUUUAGUCCCCUUCCCCUGGGGACCUUGUGGCUGAGUCUAACCCUGGAGGGGCACAAAACACUCUGGGGAGAUUAAGGAUUUGGCCUGCUAGCAAAUGACUGGUGGGCAAUGAGGCUGAGCCCAAGAAGACCUCGGUCUAGCCUGUGGGGCUGCUCCACAGGGCUGAAUUCCUUCCCUCUCUUCAGGGUUUUAUCCCACAUGGCUUUCUCCUUGUCCCCUACAAUUCCGUCUUCCCCAACAAACACACCCAUCAAAGCUCUCCUCCCCAGACCUACCCCAGCUCUGUGACAUCUCUCCAGAUUUGGGGGCUCAAACCUGUACCCCAUAGUCUCAGAACAAAUCUUGGCUUGUACAAAGGGAACUGGAGAAUGCUUUCCCUCCAAACAAAAAACUCCCCAUCUCUGUGGCUGACCUUCAGAGAGACACACACCCUUGAAGACCUCACAGCUACACCCCCAUCCUCACCAAAGAAGACGCACAAGUACACACAAAUACAUACAGAGAUAUUCACAUAUGGCAUAGUAAAUACUCUGCAGAGGGAACGAAGAUGGUGGAAUACAGCCAGGUAAAAAGACUCUUCUCAUGAAGCCCCUACCCCAGCCCUGGUUACAAACAUCUCAGAAGGUUUGCCUCCAUCAGGAAGUCAGCCCAUUACCCCGACAAGAGCAUAUCCCCUAGUACUCUUAAAAGCCAUGGUCUGACACCAGGGAUGCUCCAACUGGGCCUGUCUUGGCCAUGGUGACACCAAGCAGGGGUGGCAUGGGGGUCUGGUGUAUUGACACCCUGCUGAAAUGUAAGGGCUGGUGUACUACUUCAGUCAGUCUCUCUUAGAGGAAGUCCGUGUACAAAUGCUGCUCAACUUUGCCUGGCAGUCACAU